rnacentral:rRNA from 1 species
CCUACGGGAGGCUGCAGUGGGGGAUAUUGCACAAUGGGGGGAACCCUGAUGCAGCGACGCCGCGUGGGUGAAGGAGGGCUUCGGCAUGUAAAGCACUAUCGGCAGGGAAGAAGCAAGACGGUACCUGACUAAGAAGCACCGGCUAACUACGUGCAAGCAGCCGCGGUAAUACGUAGGGGGCGAGCGUUAUCCGGAUUCACUGGGUGUAAAGGGAGCGUAGACGGCCAUGCAAGCCAGGGGUGAAAGCCCGGGGCCCAACCCCGGGACUGCCCUUGGAACUGUGCGGCUAGAGUGCGGGAGGGGCAGGCGGAAUUCCUGGUGUAGCGGUGAAAUGCGUAGAUAUCAGGAGGAACACCGGCGGCGAAGGCGGCCUGCUGGACCGCGACUGACGUUGAGGCUCGAAAGCGUGGGGAGCGAACAGGAUUAGAUACCCCAGUAGUC